GCCGGGAAAUAGGCGUCGACGGUGGUGGCGCCGGGCUCUAACACCGGAGAGACAAGCACGCCACGGCCUAGGAGGAACUGCCUGUCCACGCCGUAGGUGUCGGCAUCCUGAGGGUAGGAGAAGAAGAGCGGGCGCGCUAUGGGUGAUCCCGUUGUGUGCGCCUCGUACAUGAGCGUGUACGUGUAGGGGAGCAGCCGGUACCGCAUCCCCAACGCCUUCCUCGCAGACUGCGCCGUCGACUCCCACACGUACAGCUCUCGCCGGACGGUUGUCUUCUCCGCAUGGGCCCUCGCGAACGGGUAGAAUGCGCCGAGCUGAAUCCAGCGGCUGCAGAGCUCCUGGGUGGUGUUGCCGUUGAAGCNNNNNNNNNNNNNNNNNNNNNNNNNNNNNNNNNNNNNNNNNNNNNNNNNNNNNNNNNNNNNNNNNNNNNNNNNNNNNNNNNNNNNNNNNNNNNNNNNNNNUCUCCCGCGUAGUUUGAAUGUCUAAAUUUGUAGUUCUGUUUGCCGUGUCUGUUCUGUGCAACACGUUUUUGAAACUGGAACCCACUUUGCACUGAACUGCAAACUGCGUCAUAGCUGAUUCUACAUGUGAAGCGUUGUAGUUGAUUCUACAUGCGAAGAGGAGUACAUAGCUGCCUCACAGGCGGCUAAGGAGGAUGUCUGGAUGGAGUAGUUCAUGUCAGAUCUUGGAGUAGUGCCAAGUGCACUGGACACAAUCAAUCUGUUCUGUGACAACACUGGUGCCAUUGCUCUAGCCAAGGAACCAAGGUUUCACAGGAGGACCAGACACGUAAAGUGACGCUUCAAUGCCAUCCGUGAUUACAUCAAGAAUCUGAAUGUUGCAGAUCCGCUGACUAAACCUCUUCCACGAGAAAAGCAUGAUCAACACCAGAACUGUAUGGGUGUUAGAUUCAUUACAUUGUAAAUCACAUAGAGAUGUGAAGCUAGAUUAUUGACUCUAGUGCAAGUGGGAGACUGUUGGAAAUAUGCCCUAGAGGAAAUAAUAAAAUAGUUAUUAUUAUAUUUCCUGUUUCAAGAUAAUCGUUUAUUAUCAAUGCUAUAAUUGUAUCGAAUGGAAACAUACAUGCAUGUGUGGAUAUAUAGACAAAACAAUGUCCCUAGUGAGCCUCUAGUUGACUAGCAUGUUGGUCCAGGAUGGUUAAGGUUUCCUAGCCAUAGACAAGUGUUGUCACUUGAUGACGGGAUCACAUCAUUCUUCACAUCAUUAGAAGAAUGAUGUGAUGGACAAGACCCAAACUAUAAACGUAUCAUAUGAUCGUGCCAUUUUGUUGCUAUGGUUUUCUACAUGUCAAUCAUACAUUCCUAUGACCAUGAGAUCAUGUAACUCACUAACACCGUAGAAAUACCUUGUGUGUAUCAAACAUCGCAACGUUACUGGGUGACUAUAAAGGUACUAUACAUGUAUCUCCGAAGGUGUCCGUUGAGUUAGCAUGGAUCAAGACUGUGAUUUGUCACUCCGUGUGAGGGAGAUGUAUCUCGGGGUCCACUCGGUAAUACAACAUCACAAACAAGCCUUGCAAGCAAUGUGACUAAAGAGUUAGCCACGGGAUCUUGUAUUACGGAACGAGUAAAGAGAGUUGCUGGUAACAAGAUUGAAAUAGGUAUGGCUAUACCGACAAUUGAAUCUUGGGAAAGUAACAUACCGAAGGACAAAGGGAAUGAUAUACGGGAUUGUGUGAAUCCUUGACAUAGAGGUUCAUCCAAUAAGAUCUUCGUAGAAUAUGUAGGAUCCAAUAUGGACGUCCAGGUCCCGCUAUUGGAUAUUGACUAGAGAGUGUCUCAGUCAUGUCUACAUAGUUCUCGAACCCGCAUGGUCUGCGCACUUAAGGUUCGGUGUCGUUUUCGGUAUAGUUGAAUUGUUGAUGUUGGUAACCGAAUGUUGUUCGGAGUCCCGGAUGAGAUCCGGAUGUCACGAGUGUGUCCGAAAUGGUCCGGAAACGAAGAUUGAUAUAUAGGAUUGUUGCAUUUGGCUUCCGGAAAGAUUUCGGGCAUUACGGGUAAAAUACCGGGAGUGACGAAUGGGUUCCGGGGUUUUACCGGGAGGGGCCACCCACCCGGAAGAGAACCAAAUAGGUCCAUGGGUGGCACACCAACCCUUAGUGGGCUGGUGAGGCCAGCCCAAUAAGACUAUUUCGGCCAAGGCAAUAAUAAAGAAGGAAAAAAGAGAAGGAGGCGGACAAGAUAGGAAGAAGUCCUCCACCAAACCGAAUUGGAGGAGGACUCCUCCCUCCUUGCCUCGGCCGAAGGCUCCUCCUUGGUUCCUCCUAUAUAUAGUGGAGGGUUUUAGGGUUUUUGCACCUCAAGCCUUUGUGCAACCCUCUCUCCCUCCACUACUUUGUGACACCUCGUAGCUAGAUCGGUACGGCACGGCGAAGCCCUGCCGGAGUAGCUACACCAACAUCACUGCCACGCCGUCGUGCUGCCAGAGAAUUCAGCUACCUCUUCAUCUCUCUUGCUGGAUCAAGAAGACGGAGAUUGUCAUCGAGUUGUACGUGUGUUGAACGCGGAGGUGCCGUCCGUUCGACGCUAGAUAGGGACGGGUCGUGGGACGACGGCGAUUUGGAUCAUGAAGACGUUCUGCUACAUCAACCGCAUUUCUUAGCGCUUCCCACUUAGCGAUCUACAAGGGUAUGUGGAUCCGAUCUCCCUCUCGUAGAUGAUCAUCACCAGGAUGGUCUUCGUGUGCGUAGGAAUUUUUUUGUUUUCUAUGCAACACUUACUACACUGUCUAUACACAGACGAAGCACUUCUGCUUACAUGUAACCAUGAGUAGUACUUGGUUACCAAAUUCAAAAAUAUACUUGUUAGAUUCCAAGUAUUUGGCCACAAAAUUAAAAUGGUAAGUUUGGUCCUUAGUUGCCAGAUUUUAAACAUGCUUAUUUUUCAUACUGCAAUUACUUGAUUGUCAGAAUUAAAUAUGUUUAGUGGCCAGAUAUUAAACAUGCUUAUUUUUUAUAUUACAAUUACGUGGUUGUCAAAAUUAAACAUGUUUAGUUACCAAAAUUACAAAUGCUCAAUUUCCUCCUUAAGAAAAACUUAGCUGCAAACUUAGUUGCCAGAUUUUAAACAUUUUAGUUGUCAUGUUAUAAUUAGCUUUCGGUCGGAAUUAAACAUGUUUAGUUGUCAAAAUUAAAAAUGCUUAAUUGUUUCUUUUAAAAUAGUUCAGUCGCGUCCUCUCAAAAAAUAGUUAGUUGCACACUUAGUGACCAGAUUUUAAACAUAUGUUUAGUUGUCAUAUUCUAAUUACUUGAUUGUCAGGAUUAAACAUGUUUAGUUGUCAUGCUUAGCAGUAUACGCAACCCAACUACCAAGGAAUGUACGUAUGACACAUAUUUUACUAUUUCAUUUGUGUAUUGGAGUUAGCCGGACGACACGUUUCUCCCACACCUCUAAGCCAUCACGAAGCAGCCAUCACGAAGCACCAUAUCAUGAAAGCCAUCACGAAGCAGCCAACUCUAAGCCUAACUCUCUCUAUUAGGCCUUAAUGUAUGCUCAUGCAACAAGUUCAAAAAUGUCCUAGUAACAGAAGCAACAAUGGUUACACAAUUCUGCUGGUUACCUUUGCUAAAAAUCAGUCGACUUAGAUUUCGCGAAGUCUCACUCGAUACUAUAAUCCGUUGAUUUUGCAUUGAGGUUUGGAUAGAUAAAAUAUUUUUUCAGUUUUUUCCUUCUUACAUACUAUACUACUUGACUGAGACUUCACGAAUCUCAGUCGACUGAGACCUAGACACAUCCUAUCUAGUAAAUCAAAAUGCAUGAUUUGAAACACCGUUUGGUCUUGACAUCAACGUUUGGUCUACCGUCGCUCUCGGCAUCCUAUGAAAGUUGUGGGACUCUAAAAACGCUCGUGUUUUUCAUAACGAGUUUCACUCCCCUCUCUACCCUUCGUAACAUUGUUUCAGACUUUACUCUUUGGGUCUUUAGAUUUAAAGACCCCAUCAGUAGGGAGGCGGACGUGUCUCUAUGAUGUAACUCGCCUUUUUUGGCAUUUGGGUAAUAUAUUCAGGUGGGGAUCCUCUCCUCCGUGAUUGUUAAAAAAAAUGUUCUAUAACUUGAUCGAGACUUGUUUAAAUCCGAGUCGACUGAGAUAUAACCGUACCCAACAAAUCACCAUGCGAAUUAAGACCUCGACUUAAAAUAUUCAGGUGGGGAUCCUCUCCCCCGUGAUUGUUAAAAAAAAUGUCCCAGUAACUGAGCGUCUUAUGGGUUCCUUAAAUACCUGGAUGUGCUUCCAUGAAAUGAGAGUGGAAGCUGCUGGCGGGACGAAUUAAUGUUAGAACUGGCACAUGUGAUACUAGAAAUCUUCAACUUUUGUUUUUAUUCAGAUCAAAAAAUAUACACAGAUGGUCUCAAUGUUAAUUAAUGGGACAUGACGAGCUUGAUCUCGAACUUGUCUCCGAUUGCCAGCGCCAUUCCACUGACGCUGAACACUCCACUGGUCCGGGACAUGGUGUGGGCUGCCUUGAGCUCAACGUUGUUUACAUAGAUGGUGAAGCUCUUUGGUGGCGACUGCAGCCCCAUGAUGACCACCUUGUCGAUGACCUGCGCCCGAGUCGGCGCGUAUGAGUUUCGCACCACAUGUGAACUCACCUUGGUUGUGAUGGUGCCCUUGCUCUCUUCCCUGUCGCAGCUGAAUCUCACGAGGGUCCAAUUGCCUCCCACGCCGCCCAUCUCCGGCGAGUCGCCGUCAUCCAAGAAGAGUUCCCCGCUGGCCGUCCCGUUCUCCGCGAGCGCCACAAGGAGGUGGAGAUCACCCUGGCGUGCGGCGGACGUGGUGAGGCCCGCUUGCUGCAGUAGUAGGAUGUUGCCGCCGGCCAGGUACGCGUUUGCCAAGUCCGCUGGCGCCGGGAGGGUGACGCGCUUGCCGGCCUUCAUGGUGAGGGCGACGGACUGGUUGUAAAGAUUGAACCACCGGCCGGCGGGGAAAUAGGCGUCGACGGUUUUGGCGCCGGGCUCUAGCACUGGAGAGACAAGCACGGCGCGGCCGAGCAUGAACUGCCUGUCCACGCCGUAGGUGUUGUUGUCGUGCGGGUAGGAGAAGAAGAGCGGGCGCACGAUGGGCGCACCCGUCGUGUGCGCCUCGUACAUGAGCGUGUAGAUGUAGGGGAGCAGCCGGUAGCGCAUCU
rnacentral:lncRNA from 1 species